rfam:Gossypium raimondii chromosome 6, whole genome shotgun sequence.
GGGUGCGAUCAUACUAGCACUAAUGCACCUGAUCCCAUCAAAACUCUGCAGUUAAGCGUGCUUGGACGAGAGUAGUACUAGGAUGGGUGACCUUUAGGGAAGCCCUCGUGUUGCACCCC